GGUCCUAUCGUCUAGCUUGGUCUAGGACAUCGGGUUUUCAUCCCGAAAACACGGGUUCAAAUCCCGUUGGGACCG
rnacentral:tRNA from 1 species